AACCCUACGUUUAGUUGCUAACGCGUGAAGGCGAGCACUCUAGACGAACUGCCGUUGACAAAACGGAGGAAGUGGGAUGACGUCAAAUCAUCAUGCCCCUUAUGUUCUGGGCUACACACGUGCUACAAUGGCCGGUACAGACGGACGCAAAGCCGCGAGGUGGAGCAAAUCCUAAAAAAGCCGGUCUCAGUUCGGAUUGCAGGCUGCAAUUCGCCUGCAUGAAGUCGGAAUCGCUAGUAAUCGCAGGUCAGCAUACUGCGGUGAAUACGUUCCCGGGCCUU
rnacentral:rRNA from 1 species